GCCGGGCGCGGUAGCUCACGCCUGUAAUCCCAGCACUUUGGGAGGCCGAGGCGGGCGGAUCACAAGGUCAGGAGAUCGAGACCAUCCUGGCUAACACGGUGAAACCCCGUCUCUACUAAAAAAAUACNNNNNNNNNNGUAUUUUUUUAGUAGAGACGGGGUUUCACCGUGUUAGCCAGGAUGGUCUCAAUCUCCUGACCUCGUGAUCCGCCUGUCUCGG
rnacentral:SRP_RNA from 1 species